UUGAAUCUUUGAAAGGAGCUGUUUGCUGGCCUUAUUAAUCUUGGGCAUGUGCAUGCUCCGUUCAAAUCCAAACUCUCAUACACCUGUGCACCCUUUGUAGGACCGGUCGAAAGGCCGUUCCUAUGUUCAUUUAUAAACUCAACAGUAUGUGUAGAAUGUCAACGCGUGUAACGCAUCUUUAUA
rnacentral:misc_RNA from 1 species